rnacentral:rRNA from 1 species
CAGCCGCCGCGGGAAUACCGAGGAUGCAAGCGUUAUCCGGAAUGAUUGGGCGUAAAGCGUCUGUAGGUGGCUUUUCAAGUCCGCCGUCAAAUCCCAGGGCUCAACCCUGGACAGGCGGUGGAAACUACCAAGCUGGAGUACGGUAGGGGCAGAGGGAAUUUCCGGUGGAGCGGUGAAAUGCGUAGAGAUGUGGAGGAAUACCGGUGGCGAAGGCGGCCACCUGGACAGCAACUGACGCUGAGGCGCGAAAGUGUGGGUAGCAAACAGGAUUAGAUACCCCAGUAGUCCCUGUCUCUUAUAC